rnacentral:lncRNA from 1 species
AUGGUCACAACAAAAAUCAAAUUGAUUACAUUCAGGCAGUCAAAGAUGAAGAAGCUCUAUACAGUCAGCAAAACAAGGCUGGGAGCUAUCUAUGGUUCAUGUCAUGAGCUCCUUACUGCCAAAUUCAGACUUCAAUUGAAGAAAGUAGGGAAAACCGCUAGACCAUUCAGGUAUGACCUCAAUCAAAUCCCUUAUGAUUAUACAGUGGAAGUGAGAAAUAGAUUUAAGGGCCUAGAUCUGAUAGAUAGAGUGCCUGAUGAACUAUGGACUGAGGUUCAUGACAUUGUACAGGAGACAGGGAUCAAGACCAUCCCCAUGGAAAAGAAAGGAAAAAAGCAAAAUGGCUGUCUGUGGAAGCCUUACAAAUAGCCGUGAAAAGAAGAGAAACGAAAAAACAAGGAGAAAAGGAAAGAUAUAAACAUCUGAAUGCAGACUUCCAAAGAAGAGCAAGAAGAGAUAAGAAAGCCUUCUUCAGGUAUCAAUGCAAAGAAAUAGAGGAAAACAACAGAAUGGGAAAGACUAGAGAUCACUUU